GGUCUGCAGAGCUGCUCCAAGAAACAGCCUGGCCAACUGCUGAGGAAAAGCUGUACUUCAACAGAGCAAUAAGGAUGUCCGGAGUGGGGUUUUAAAGAGGGCAACUAUCAGCUCGAUGCUGUGGCCAUUACCCUGGGACCUGCAGGCAGCCAGCACCCAGUUUGACCAGCAGACAGACCAGAAGGGCUGACAGGUUAUCCUGCUGCUCAGCAGAGAUGCCAUUGCUUCUCAUGUGUGUGCAAAACUUGGCUCACACUAGAGAAUCACCCACUGGGUGAAGAAGCUGAAGAACAAGAAUCUGUGUGCUGCUUAUGUGAAGACAGCAAGCAAGCCUGCAAGAGGCAUGGCACAUCCAUUCAGACAGAGCCUAUCUUGGCAUCUCUUCUGUUCAUUCUUGUACCAAAAAAAAAAAAAAACUUCAAGAAAAAGAACACUUCUGAGAGAUAUCCACACCCAUGAACAGAUGUAUAAGUGGAACAGCAGUUAGCUAUGAUAAAUUCUCAAGAGAGAUUUUGUAAACCCACAUUUGGCCAGGAUUAUCCUAGCCACGUAGUUUGUCUCCCAAGAAAACUGUUGGACAGCUGAUUUCUUUCUUGGAGCACAUGGCUGGGUUGCUUUGUUGUUUUUUUGUUUUGUUUUGUUUUGUUUUUUCCCAUCUCUCUCCCUUGGGCACUCAGUGGAAUAGCACUACGUACCAGUAUUUCAG
rnacentral:lncRNA from 1 species